GUUAACAGUUUUGCUAACAUAGAAAACUUGUUGUUGAUGACUUACCAUACCACUUGGCGAGCUCAUCGUUGGCCGGAGUAGACACUUUCUGCUUCGGCGGUGGUGCAGCCUUCUUCUUAGAGAAAAGAGCAACAGUUUUGAAGGUAGAAGGUGUAGAAGGAGAAGGAGCAGACCUUGUAGCACCACUGAAGUUGAUAGGGUUUCCAAGCAUUUCUGACAUGCCAAGUGAAGCAGCUGCAGUUGAAGCAGCAAUAGAAGC
rnacentral:lncRNA from 1 species